CAUUUAUGAACCAGCGGGAGCUAGUUUCCGGGGUCCCACUGAGUGGGGGCGGUGGGGCCAGGCCGCCCGACCUCUGAGAUGUCUCGCUUUCCAGGGCGUGACCGCGGCCGGCGGCGCCCUCUCCCUCUCCCACUCCAGUUGCUUUCACUGAAGCCCUCCUUUUGUCCCUGAGGCUUGAAUUUUAAGAUGUUCAUAGAGUCCCAAGAGAGCUGAAUCCGGGGUCGGAAACGUCCGCCGGUUAUUCUGGCAUAUUCUACUGAAGUAGGCAGGGGGAGAUUUGCCCUGGGCGGACAAUGGCAGGGUUUGGGGGAGCCCGGGGUGGGAGGCUGGGGGGGAAGCAGGUGGUGCUCUUUUUUUUUUUUUUUUUUUUUUUAAGAUGAGUCAGUGUUACUGCAGUUGUUUGUGAGUAUGUGUGCGCGAGGCACACGGUCACUGGAGAACCACACCCCCUAAAUGAGGGCUUCACCCCCUAAAUGAGGGCUUCCUAAUUUGGGCAGUUCUACAGCUGAAAGGAACCAUCCCCGGCUGGAGACUCCCAGGACGAUGGGACGGAGGAGGAAUCAAAUUCUUCAGUCGAGGCCUUCCUGGCUGUUUCAGAGCUCUGUGGUUGGCGUGGUUGAAACUUGAGAUACUUGCAAUGUAUUGUAUGACUGGGAAGAAGAAUAAACAUAUAAGAACUUGAAGAUAAUGGCCAAGCCAAUGGAAAGAAUUUCCAGGGAAAUAUAUUCCCUUAUCCUGCCACUGUACAGAAGAGUAACAACCAACCAGCCAAUCAACAGAAGGGAAAAAAAAUUAACAACCAAUACUUUCAAGACCAUCUCAUUAAUAAUCACAGGACUUGCGAGUGUGUUUUCCAGUCUCAGGACUAAGCAGCGUUCUACUUCAAUUCACUGCUUGACCUGGAAACUCAAUACAAGACAGCAUCUUCGUGGCCCAACAUUAUUAUCCUUCUCUGAAGAUAUAACAGCUUAACCCAUCACAAAGUGAGUCUUUUGAUACUGGGACAAUAGGGCCCCGAAUAUUUAUUUUAGCUAAAAAAAAAAAGAGAGAGAAGACGAAAGAGAGAAAGCAAUGACAAUAGCAGUUGAUAAACAUGUCUGCACAAAUUGUAGGACUUAUACUGAGAGACAGCCUCUGAGAUGAUGCAAUGUAAUAAAAAAAAAAAAAAAAAACUUUUUUUAAAGAGG
rnacentral:lncRNA from 12 species